ACACUCCAGGAGGGGUGACUGCUGGCCCGGGAGGAAGGUUACCCUUAGCAACGGAGACAGGACAUCCAUGCAGAGCAGCACAGCCUGGUGGGAAGGGCAAAGGGCUUGGGGUUACACUGUCCUGGGUGUGAAUUCCAGCCCCUCGACUCUCCAGCUGGGUGACCUUGGGGAAGACACCACACCUUCCUGGGCUACCUGUUUCUCAGAUGCAAGAUGAGGGAGAAUAAUUCCAUUCCCCAUGUAGAUCAAACAGCUGAAGAAACUCCCUGCCUCUGUAAGCCUCUGCCAAACGGCGGUCCCCAGGGAAGCCAGGCAUCAGCUCUGGAGUUGGGGCUCAGGCGUGGGCAGGCUUGCCAGAGGUGGCAAAGAAAUGGUGCCAAACCACCUCACUGCCAAGAGCUGAGGCUGCUUGGAAAGCACCAUCACCUGGCCAUGGGGAGCCCUGUCAGCAACCUUCUUUGUGUCAACCAGCAGGCGGCACAUUCUCAACCACUGGACCACCAGGGAAGUUCAAGCCAGUGUUUUUAAAUUGUGAAAUUCCUAAUAAAAAUUCGGAUCUCCAAGCAUCUCCACAGUGUCCGACUCUUCGUGGCCCCAUGGACUGCAGCACUCCAGGCUUCUCUGUCCUGCACCAUCUCCUGAAGUUUACCCAAGUUCAUAUCCAUUGCAUCAAGAUUACCUUAAAAGAUUUGACUAAGGAGAGAGAAGUAAAAGGUUUCGUGUUUCUUGCCUCUGUUCUGGGUUUUAAAAAUGAAUGUUCUUAUUCUGAUUCUGAGACAGUCAACCCCAGUCUUGGGCUUCAACCUCCACCUCUAAUGCUGAGUCUUCCUGCCCAAAACAAC
rnacentral:lncRNA from 1 species